rnacentral:rRNA from 1 species
UACGUAGGGGGGCAAGCGUUGUCCGGAUUUAUUGGGCGUAAAGAGCGUGUAGGCGGCCAUACAGGUCCGUUGUGAAAACUCGAGGCUUAACCUCGAGACGUCGAUGGAAACCGUAUGGCUAGAGUCCGGAAGAGGAGAGUGGAAUUCCUGGUGUAGCGGUGAAAUGCGCAGAUAUCAGGAGGAACACCGGUGGCGAAGGCGGGUCUCUGGGCCGAUACUGACGCUGAGGAGCGAAAGCGUGGGGAGCGAACAGG